rnacentral:misc_RNA from 1 species
AAAUUUUAUUUUCCUAGUUUCAUUGUUACUUGUAAUUAAUUAUUAAAUUUUAUAAUUAAAAUGGAGGCUAUGGUGGCUACUGCUACUGCCGAUGCUACUUUGAACUCAUGGGAUGACGAUUCACAGGAAAUCUCAGUCAAUGUGAAUCGCUUAUACUUGCAUAUUGUGGGUGAAAAAAAGAAGUGAUACAUGUACGAUUUAGGCUCUCAUGCUUCAACUUUAUAUUCAAACUCAUUCAGCAACUUUGCCACUUCACACAUGACAACUACGGUUAUAAAUUAUGUUCCUGAUGAGCGCAUUAGAGUGCAUGAGGAGGAGAUCGCUUGCAUGAGGGAACAUCAAGAGCGAAUCCUCCAGCAAUGCAUUAAGGAGGAGGUAUCGUGCCUUAGGCAAUAAAGUGAAGAGGAGUUUUGCUCCAUGCAGGAAGAGAUGAGAUGAGGCGUAUGAUAAGGCAGAUAGUGUCCUCAUCUCGCCCUUCAAGUGAUUCUAUUGAU